GGCUGUGAAGGAGAUCUGGCUGCAACAUCUGCCACCCCACUGAUCGCUGGGGUUGAUUCGGCUGAUCUGGCUGAUCCUCCCUCUCUGCUCCACGUCCACCCCUCCAGAAGCUGUGCUCUUGGUUGAAGAGGACACCCUUCCCAGCUAGAGGAGGACCGGUCUUCAGUGAAGUAGCUGUGCUCCCCUGCUAGAACCUCCAAACAAGCUCUCAAGGAGUACUCUGGUACCCAGGUACACUGAUAUGGGAUGGGGGCAUCUUAAUUGGUGU
rnacentral:snRNA from 1 species